UACGAAGGGGGCUAGCGUUGUUCGGAAUUACUGGGCGUAAAGCGCGCGUAGGCGGUGAUCUAUGUCAGGGGUGAAAUCCCGGGGCUCAACUCCGGAAUUGCCUUUGAAACGGGAUCGCUAGAGUCCGAGAGAGGAUGGCGGAAUUCCUAGUGUAGAGGUGAAAUUCGUAGAUAUUAGGAAGAACACCGGUGGCGAAGGCGGCCAUCUGGCUCGGUACUGACGCUCAGGCGCGAAAGCGUGGGGAGCAAACAGGG
rnacentral:rRNA from 1 species